UUACCCAUGUCCUUGCUGUUGCCAGCUUCCAGACUGCCAGAGACGCAGCUACGGCAGAGGCACCUGCCUCACACGGAGGGUCUCCCUCGUCUGCUUCCUGCUCGGGGCAGAAGCAGGAGCUCACCUUGCCUCCAGGUGCCGCUGUGGGUCGGCUCCGGGUCUGGAACGAGUCGCUAAGCUUGCCCAUGGGAGCCUGACUCUCAGCUGCACAGGCCACUGAACUGGUACAUUUUUUCCAGCCCAGAGAUUUCCCCAAACUGCCCUGGGCGAGCGGCUGCUGUUCCAUCAGUGACUUGGUGGGGGCUGCGGGGGAGGUCAGCUGCAAGCCCCAGAUCUCCCUGAAUGAGGGGGACACGCUGUCCACGCUGAUGUGUGUGCUGUGCCUGUGCGGGGGGAGGGGCAGUGUGGUCAGGGACAGACGUGGACAUUCGUGCUUGGGGAGAGGCUGUGGCCUUUGUCAGACUCCCUCUGACCUUCAGGGCCCGUGGGAUCAGGCAGGGACCCACACGGCGUUUCUGCCUUGGGGGUGGCCAACGGCAAACGUGAAAUGCCGUCACGCUGUGGUUUGGGCCUGAGUCAGAGUGCUGGGUUCAAGCCCUGGCCCCACCCCCAGUGCCUGGGAGCCCGUGGGAGAGUUUAACCCCCGAGCCUCAGUCUCCUUGUCUGUACUGUAGGGACGGGGGUGCAGACGGCGCCAGCUUCCCAGCUAUGACUUACAGGGCCUGAAUGAGCCAGUCCACUGUGGGGCUCAGUGUGGCAUCUAGCGCCCGUUAAACGUGCCAUAAAUACCAUGUUGCCAUCCGCACAUCUGCUAGAACCGGAGGUGAGCGCAGCGUGGUGGCGAGGAGUGGCCCAGAGUCUCUGGACUGGUGUGGCACGCGUCCCGGAAGGUCUCGCUCCCUGUACGGUGUUUUUUAAUGCAGUUCUGCCCGAGUUCAAGGCCAGGUGCUUUCUACCAUGGCUUUCGGCAGUUGGCAGGAGGGCUGGUGGUUAAAUUCACAGGCUUGGAAGCCGGGCUGCUGGCUUGAGGGCGGUUGUUUGAUGCGAGAGCUCAGGGUCUCCGUUUUCCCCCUUGUGAAGCAGGCACGCUGUGGCCCACCUCUUCGGGCUGUGGUGCAGGCUGCCGCAGAGUAUGUGGGUGACCACCGCCCAGGGCCUGGAGCAGGGCUUGGGGAGCCCCCAGUAAGAGCCAUCAGCAGCAGCAUCUCACCACACGCCUCCCCCACUCGUCCUGGUCCCUCCCGUCAUCCUGAAUAGCUUGAGAUAUGAGUACAGUUAAAGCUCUUCCAGCCAAACCCGUGCCCGGUGGCAUCGAUGUCUUAUUUCAGACAAGACCCCGGGGUGACGGGUUCUGGUCUGGUUUUUCACGCGGGGCUCAGCUUGGAGCACCCCUCUGAAGGUAAGCCAGGUCACAGAUCCCAUGGGACAGAGCCGGCUGGGGCUCCCGUGAGGACCUGUGCGACGCUCUGUGUCUGCCGGCCAGUCACUGGACCUCACUGUCCUGAUCUUCUCGUUGCAGGCUGCCAACAGCUACCUGCGAGACCAGUGGUUCCAUUCUCUGCAGUGGAAGGUAAGUCCUGACUCGCUUGCUUGCUGGAGGCAGCUGCCUUCGUCUCAGCAGCUGAGUGUGGGCUCACAGCAGGUCUGCCCCCGGAGGCUUGAGGGUGGAGGUCUCUCGCCUUCCUGGCAGCUCAGCCGAGGAGCUUGGCUCACUGUAUGGAAGCCCCCGCCUCCCUCUUUGACAGUUGAUACCUUUCCCCUCUCGAGGCGGAAACUGCCUUCCUCCCCUUGGCCCUCGGCUUUGCUCGGGAGCCUCACAGCGUGUGCCUGCUUCCGAAAGGCUCAAAGAACCACUUGCUCUCAGGGCAGGGGCUCUCCUGAGAGGCUCGGGGAGGCAGGACCUCAGGGGCUCAAGAUGAUGGCUUGAAAGUAACUUCCGGGAGUUCCCCGGUAGCGCAGCAGAUUAAAGAUCUGGCAUUGUCUCCACUGUGGCUCGGGUUACUGCUGUGGUUCAGUCUCUGGCCUGGUAACAUCAUACCACUGGAGAGACCAAAAUAAUAAUAACAGUAAUUUUUUUAAAAGUUCACUGAACAAAAAGUUCUUGUGUUUAAAAGAAAACGAGAAACGUGAAGUUCCCAUUGUGGCUCAGCGGGUUAAGACCCUGACACGGAUUGUCUCUCUAGGGUUGUGGGCUCCAUCCCUGGCCCCGCUCAGUGCGUUGCUGCAAGCUGUGGCCUAGGUCACCGAUGCGGCUCGGAUCUGGUGUGGCUGUGGCCGUGGCAGAGACCUGCAGCUGCAGCUCCGAUUUGACCCCUAGCCCACAGACUUCCACAUGCCACAGGUGUGGCCGUAAAAAGAAAAAAAAAACAAACAGGAAAACAAAAAGCAAAAAAAAAGUGAUUUCUGAAGGUGGCACCAGAGAUAGAUUCAUCAGAGAUGCAGAAGCCCAGCUGUAUUUCCAUAGGCUUCGCUUCCUUUCCAUUAUCUGAUUCUUUGGCCUGAUUUUCCAGUUCUGGCUCUGCUUAGGGUGGUCCAGGGCCUUCUAGCACAGAAGGUGAAUUAGUCCCCUCCUGGUCACGUUCAAGACCCAGCGGCGGGAUCUACGAGAAGGGUCCUGCCAGCCUCCUGGGGAGUCCACGUUCUGCUCCCUGGCGCAGGACCCUGGCACCCUGCCUCCCCAUCUCCCCGCCCUCUGAUCUUUUAGUUGAGAACAAGCCAUGACAGGCCUGCGGGCUUGCAGAGCCAGCAGGGCGAGGCUAGAAUGACCUGCGUGGCCUGAGCCGUCAUCUUUUGGUAAGCCGUCGGGCGGUGGGGGACGAGAGGCUGGCCCUGUGCAGGGCUUGCGGCAUGUGCCAUGUUGGGACAAGCACGGGACACGCGGCAUGCCUCUCGUGCCUCUGGAGGGGCUCCCGUCACAGCUGGGCGGAGGGCGGAAAUCCAGCCCCGGAAAAUUGCAUUCCUGGUCCAAAGAGGGCCGCCCCUGGCCCUUCCCCGACAGCUGCAGGUCCUCUCUCUCGUUUGUGCCCGCAUGGCCGUCUCAGAGGCCAAGUGGGAGUCUCCAAGUUGGGGCUGCGAAGGGAAAGGACCGGCAUUUCCUGAGCACCCUCUGUGUGCCUGGGGCCUGAGACCAGCCUGUCUGUUUCACCCUUGUAAGCCUGGUUGUCCUCAUUGCUCCCGUUUUCUCUCUAGGGAAGGGGAGGCCAGACUGGACCCCUACCUCCCCAGCCAGUAAGGGCCUGGGGCAGCGUGCAGACCCUGGCCUUUCCCGUCCCUGUGGGUUCCUAAGCGCACUCGGAGGACACCGGGUGUCAGCCCGGCAGGCAAGCGGCGCCGGCCUGCUCAAGGAAUUGGCAGGGGCUGCUGGAGCUUGAUUUCUGCAGGGACGUCGUCCCUGAGGCCUGGCUCUCUGUGGCCCGAUGAGUCCCAGGACAGGCAGGACCCAUAGGGCCGCCUGGGAGAGCACUGGAGAGGAAGAGGGGAGGAAUAUGGGGUGCUGUGUGGUGCU
rnacentral:lncRNA from 1 species